rnacentral:rRNA from 1 species
GCAAGUCGAACGCAGUAGCAAUACUGAGUGGCAGACGGGUGAGUAACAUGUGGGAAUCUGCCUUGUGGUUCAGGACAACAUUGGGAAACCGAUGCUAAUACUGGAUAAGCCCUUACGGGGAAAGUUUUAAUGCCAUAAGAUGAGCCCGCAUUUGAUUAGUUAGUUGGUGAGGUAAUGGCUCACCAAGACAAUGAUCAAUAGCUGAUCUGAGAGGAUGAUCAGCCACACUGGGACUGAGACACGGCCCAGACUCCUACGGGAGGCAGCAGUGGGGAAUCUUGCACAAUGGAGGAAACUCUGAUGCAGCGAUGCCGCGUGAGUGAAGAAGGCCUUUGGGUUGUAAAGCUCUUUUGUAGGGGAAGAUAAUGACUGUACCCUAAGAAUAAGGUCCGGCUAACUUCGUGCCAGCAGCCGCGGUAAUACGAAGGGACCUAGCGUAGUUCGGAAUUACUGGGCGUAAAGCGCGCGUAGGCCGUUGAGUUAGUUAAUUGUGAAAUCCCAAAGCUUAACUUUGGAACUGCAAUUAAAACUGCUCGACUAGAGUUUGAUAGAGGAAAGCGGAAUACAUAGUGUAGAGGUGAAAUUCGUAGAUAUUAUGUAGAACACCAGUUGCGAAGGCGGCUUUCUGGAUCAACACUGACGCUGAGGCGCGAAAGUAUGGGUAGCAAAGAGGAUUAGAUACCCUCGUAGUCCAUACCAUAAACGAUGAUUGCUAGAUGUUGGAAAUUUAUUUUCAGUAUCGCAGCUAACGCAUUAAGCAAUCCGCCUGGGGAGUACGACCGCAAGGUUAAAACUCAAAUGAAUUGACGGGGACCCGCACAAGCGGUGGAGCAUGUGGUUUAAUUCGAAGAUACGCGCAGAACCUUACCAACCCUUGACAUGUCUGUCGCGAGUUUAGGAAACUAGACUUU